rnacentral:rRNA from 1 species
AUGUGCCCUAGCUCUCCAACGGCUCAGUCCUUGAGCCCUCUUCCUUGUCCUCCAUCGGCGAUGUACACCAAUGCCAGUCCUCCGUCGGCACCGUCCAGCAGCGUGAGCGCUCCGCCGCCCAUGGUCGUCGGCCCAUUGCCGGCCCCGUCAAGUAGCGCGAGCGCUCCGGUGGCCAUGAUCCCCCGUCCUCCAUUGGCCCCGUCCAGCAGCACGAGCGCUACGGCGAGUUCAUCAUGUACACCCAAAUGCAAUGAGAACUUGAAGCCAGCUGUAGGAAUGACAUUUGAUAGUAUGGAAGCAGUCGAGGAGUUUUACAAGGCUUAUGCACACAAUGUUGGAUUUUCAGUUCGAAUUGGAUAGAAGAAGACUGUAGAUAAUGUGAUAGUCUGGAGGCGUUUCCUUUGUUCAAAAUCAGGAUUCCGAACAUAGAAGGUGGAUGAACCCAGGACGAAUUUGAAUGGAGAGAAGAAAAGAACACAUGCAAGAAAGAUCACCAGAUGUGGUUGUGAGGCCAUGAUAACUAUGAAGCAUAUAAAGGAUGGCAAAUACUCAGUAUAAGAUUUUCAUGAAGAACACACCCAUGAUUUUGUCACACCUAGUAAGCAACAUUUAAUCAAGUCUAACAGAAAAGUCAGUGAAAAGGCCAAGGGCACAAUAUUCACAUGUCACACAGCUAGCAUUGGUACAUCUGGGGUGUUUCGGUUGCUUCGUGUUGGUGAGGGUGGAUUUCAGUUUGUGGGGUGCACAAAAAGAGACCUGCAAAAUUAUCAUCGUGACAUGAUAAGUACUUUCAAGGAUUCAGAUGCUCAAAUGUUCAUUGACAACUUUAGGAAGAGGAAGAAAAUCAACCCGGGGUUCUUCUUUGAGUAUGUUCUUGAUGAUAAAAAUUGUCUGACACAUGUAUUUUGAACUGAUGCUUUUUGUAGAAAGAAUUAUGCUUUGUUUGGAGAAAUGGUGUCCUUUGACUCUACAUAUAGCACCAACCAGUACAACAUGAUUUUUUGCCCAUUCACAGGAAUAAACCACCACAUGGGAUCUGUUUUUUAUGGUGACGCCUUGAUUGUAGAUGAGAAGAUAGAGUCAUAUGAAUGGGUAUUUGAAACGUUCUUGAAAGCAAUGGACAGGGCAGCACCAAGGCUUAUAGUAACUGAUGAAGACCAAAGCAUGAAGGCUGCAAUUGAACAUAUAAUGCCAAACACUAUCCAUAGGUUAUGCAUGUGGCACAUAAUGAGAAAGCUUCCAGAAAAGGUUGGCCCUCCAUUGAGAGAGGAUGAACAUUUCUAUAGUACAAUUAACUCAUGUGUAUGGGGCUCUGAAAACCUAGCUAAAUUUGAGGCAAAAUGGUCUUCAUUGAUUUCUGAAUUUGGGCUGCAGGUCUUGUUCCAACUCCAAGAUGCAUUUCGAAACGACAACUUUGCAUUGAAGCUCAUGUGUUGGAGGGAUUUUACAUGA